rnacentral:rRNA from 1 species
AACGAACGCUGGCGGCAUGCCUAACACAUGCAAGUCGAACGAGACCUUCGGUUCUAGUGCCGCCCGGGUGCGUAACGCGUAGGAACCUGUCCUUAGGUUCGGAAUAACUCCGCGAAAGGGGUGCUAAUACCGGCUAAUACCUCCGGACCACAGAUUUGUAGCCCUUGGAUGGGCCCGCGUUGGAUUGGCUAGUUGGUAUGGUAAAAGCCUACCAAGGCGACGAUCCAUAGCUGGGCUGAGAGGAUGAGCAGCCACACUGGGACUGAGACACGGCGCAGACUCCUACGGGAGGUAGCAGUGGGGAAUAUUGGACAACGGGCGAAAGCCUGAACCAGCAAGGCCGCGUGAGUGAUGAAGUCCGUAGGGUUGUAAAGCUCUUUUACCCCGGAUGAUAAUGACAGUACCGUGAGAAUAAGCACCGGCUAACUACGUG